AAAGACUUUUUUUUUUUCUUUCUUUGAGAGACUUUUGCGGACGGAAAUUAUUUGGCAAAAUAUCUCUGUCUUUUGACCGCGAUUCCAAACUCUAGUGAUCUCUAGUGAACUAAAGACUUCACCAUCCAAUAUAGCUUUUUUCUUCACCAAAAUCGCACCCUAAAAAGAGAAUUUUGAAAUAAAUGGCAGAGUCUGCUCAAAACCCAGUGACGCAGCAGCAGAAAAUCAUUGUAACCAACAAACAUGGUGAAAAGCUUGUGGGCUUGUUACAUGACACUGGUUCUGGGGAUAUUGUAAUCUUAUGCCAUGGUUUUACAUCCACCAAGGACGACCCUAUUAUGGUGAACCUCGCUGUUGCAUUGGAAAGUGAAGGAAUUAGUUCAUUUCGUUUUGAUUUUUCUGGAAAUGGGGAAAGCGAAGGCAUCUUUGAGUAUGGUAACUAUCAGAAAGAAGCUGAUGACUUACAUGCUGUAGUUGAACACUUCUCAGGGACAAGCCGUGUAGCAAGUGUAAUUUUGGGGCACAGCAAAGGAGGUGAUGUGGUGCUUCUGUAUGCUUCUAAGUAUCAUGACAUUUGUACGGUUGUCAAUGUUUCUGGACGUUAUGAUCUGAAGAAAGGCAUUGGAGAACGCUUGGGGAAAGACUUUAUGGAAACGAUCAAGAAGGAAGGCUUCCUUGAUAUCAAGAAUAACACAGGAGGUGUUGCUUACCGUGUGACUGAAGAAAGUCUGAUGGAUCGCCUAAGUACUGAUAUGCAAGAAUCAUGCCUUCAGAUUGGCAAAGAAUGCCAGGUGUUGACAGUCCAUGGAUCUGAUGAUGAGGUCAUCCCUGUGGACGAUGCAGUGGAGUUUUCCAAGAUAAUAACUAACCAUAAAUUACAUAUUGUGCGAGGAGCUAAUCAUUGUUACACCUCGCAUCAAGCUGAGUUAGCUUCAGUUGUGGUGGACUACAUAAAGACCGCUCUGCAGCAGGACAAGACUACUUCCAACUAGACUGGCAGAGCAUAAAAGCAACAAAGCUGUUGGUAUUUCCAUCGCCUUGCCCUUCAGGACUACUUAGCGUUGUAACCUUCCCAUUUAGUUCUGCUGCUGUCAAAGUGCCCUUUUGGGAGUCGUGUGACCGAGGGAAGUUUGAUGGAUCGCGUUUGUGCUGAUAUGCAUGAAUCAUGCCUUAAGAUUGACAAAGAAUGCCGGGUGUUUUGACAGUCCAUGGAUCUUCUGAUAAGACCAUCCCGUUUGAAGAUGUAUUAAAGUUUUCGAACAUAUAAUACCUAAUCACAAUUUACAUAUA